rnacentral:rRNA from 1 species
GACGAACGCUGGCGGCGUGCUUAACACAUGCAAGUCGAACGGAAAGGCCCUGCUUUUGUGGGGUGCUCGAGUGGCGAACGGGUGAGUAACACGUGAGUAACCUGCCCUUGACUUUGGGAUAACUUCAGGAAACUGGGGCUAAUACCGGAUAGGAGCUCCUGCUGCAUGGUGGGGGUUGGAAAGUUUCGGCGGUUGGGGAUGGACUCGCGGCUUAUCAGCUUGUUGGUGGGGUAGUGGCUUACCAAGGCUUUGACGGGUAGCCGGCCUGAGAGGGUGACCGGCCACAUUGGGACUGAGAUACGGCCCAGACUCCUACGGGAGGCAGCAGUGGGGAAUAUUGCACAAUGGGCGGAAGCCUGAUGCAGCAACGCCGCGUGCGGGAUGACGGCCUUCGGGUUGUAAACCGCUUUCGCCUGUGACGAAGCGUGAGUGACGGUAAUGGGUAAAGAAGCACCGGCUAACUACGUGCCAGCAGCCGCGGUGAUACGUAGGGUGCGAGCGUUGUCCGGAUUUAUUGGGCGUAAAGGGCUCGUAGGUGGUUGAUCGCGUCGGAAGUGUAAUCUUGGGGCUUAACCCUGAGCGUGCUUUCGAUACGGGUUGACUUGAGGAAGGUAGGGGAGAAUGGAAUUCCUGGUGGAGCGGUGGAAUGCGCAGAUAUCAGGAGGAACACCAGUGGCGAAGGCGGUUCUCUGGGCCUUUCCUGACGCUGAGGAGCGAAAGCGUGGGGAGCGAACAGGCUUAGAUACCCUGGUAGUCCACGCCGUAAACGGUGGGUACUAGGUGUGGGGUCCAUUCCACGGGUUCCGUGCCGUAGCUAACGCUUUAAGUACCCCGCCUGGGGAGUACGGCCGCAAGGCUAAAACUCAAAGGAAUUGACGGGGCCCCGCACAAGCGGCGGAGCAUGCGGAUUAAUUCGAUGCAACGCGUAGAACCUUACCUGGGUUUGACAUGGAUCGGGAGCGCUCAGAGAUGGGUGUGCCUCUUUUGGGGUCGGUUCACAGGUGGUGCAUGGCUGUCGUCAGCUCGUGUCGUGAGAUGUUGGGUUAAGUCCCGCAACGAGCGCAACCCUUGUUCACUGUUGCCAGCACGUUAUGGUGGGGACUCAGUGGAGACCGCCGGGGUCAACUCGGAGGAAGGUGGGGAUGACGUCAAGUCAUCAUGCCCCUUAUGUCCAGGGCUUCACGCAUGCUACAAUGGCUGGUACAGAGAGUGGCGAGCCUGUGAGGGUGAGCGAAUCUCGGAAAGCCGGUCUCAGUUCGGAUUGGGGUCUGCAACUCGACCUCAUGAAGUCGGAGUCGCUAGUAAUCGCAGAUCAGCAACGCUGCGGUGAAUACGUUCCCGGG